rnacentral:rRNA from 1 species
AGCGAACGCUGGCGGCGUGCUUAACACAUGCAAGUCGAGUGCGUAGCCCUUUGUAGCAAUACAGAGGGUGGGCGCACGGCGCACGGGUGAGUAACACGUGGGUAACCUGCCCUUCGGUGGGGAAGUAACCCGCCGAAAGACGGGGCGUAAUUCCGUCCAUAGCAUUCCGGGGACGACAUGUUCUCGGACUCAAAGGAGUGA